rnacentral:rRNA from 1 species
GUAGGGAAUAUUGCGCAAUGGACGAAAGUCUGACGCAGCGACGCCGCGUGAGUGAUGAAGGCCUUAGGGUCGUAAAGCUCUGUUGAAUGGGAAGAAAAAAAUGACGGUACCAUUCGAGGAAGGACCGGCUAACUUCGUGCCAGCAGCCGCGGUAAUACGAGGGGUCCUAGCGUUGUUCGGAAUCAUUGGGCGUAAAGGGUGUGUAGGUGGCCAUGUAAGUCUGGUGUGAAAGCCCCGGGCUCAACCCGGGAAGUGCACUUGAUACUGCGUGGCUUGAGUACCGAAGAGGGUAGUGGAAUUCCAGGUGUAGUGGUGAAAUACGUAGAUAUCUGGAGGAACACCGGUGGCGAAGGCGGCUACCUGGUCGAGUACUGACACUGAGACACGAAAGCAUGGGGAUCAAACAGGAUUAGAAACCCGAGUAGUCC